GUGCUCAUAUGCAUCACUUCAGCUGACAGUGCUCUGGUAGGAGCUAGCAGCAGAAUUAUUUCAGUGAAGGACCUGUGGGUGUUGAAGACCAGAGGCUGGACUGAGACCGAUCUUAUCACCUUUUAGGCACAGCAAGACACAUAUCUUCAUGCAAGCAUUUCCCUGAUGGCUAGAAAGCUUAACGUUGAAGAAAUGCCUAUUCUUACUGAAUACCUUGCAGAGAUUGUUCAAGAACUGCAUUUGGCUUACCACUUUGUUGUCAGAAAGCUGAUGCCUCAGUUUCCCUUCACUGGCUGCAAUUACCCUCCAAUGCAGGACUACUGCUCCGAUGAAUUUAAGUCCAUCAAAACAGGAC